GUGUCUAACAUGCAUCUAACUGACACUGAUGUGAAUGGGACAAAAAUUCACAAAAAGGUAGGACACAGACUCACGAAAAGACGUGAAUGUCAAUUUCACUCUCAUCAUAGAAAUAGCCCUAGAAAGCUUGUUGCCUUGUCCAUUCCAGUCUCAUAUUAAUUUAAUAUUUUACUAUUUUAACCUUAAGCAACAUACAUUUUCCAAUCCAAGACCUUUUGUGAAUGAAGCUCUUCCAGUGGCAAUUAGUGUUGCAUCUACCUACACAAGUAGCAAAGACCACAAAAAUUGCAGCUUUAUGUUGCCCCCAAAAAGGUGAAACAAAGACCGAUGUUCAAAGGUGAGACAAAAAGCUGCAUUUUUGUCAUAUUGACAUCAAUUCUUGUCCUAAUAGUACAAAAAUUGCAGCUUUUGUAUCACACAAAAAAGGUGAGACAAGAAUUGAUGUCAAUAUAACAAAAAAUGCAGCUUUUUGUCUCACCAAAAAAGGUGAGACAUGAACUGAUGUUAAUAGAAUAAAAAUUGCAGCUUUUAAGGAUUGACUUGAAUAGGUCAAAAGUUGCAGUUUUUUUUACCUCUAGUGUCUCUUUUGGUUCUUUUGUUUUGGCAUCAAUAAGCUCAAUCAUGACAGGUUUCCC
rnacentral:lncRNA from 1 species